GCGGACGUAGUUCAGUGGUAGAACGGCAGCCUUCCAAGCUGCUCAUGUGGGUUCGAUUCCCAUCGUCCGCU
rnacentral:tRNA from 1 species